UUUCUCAUAUCUCACUUUUUACAGUUCAGGCCAACUCAACUCAUCUGGUUUUCUCUCUACACACAAACUCAUAUGGUUCUCUCUAUUAGAGAUGAUUAGAAGCAUGAAGCUUCAAAUCUGAUAUUAGAUCGAUCAAGCAAGUUAUCCGAGGCACUCACGGAGGUGUAGACUUCACGGUCUUAGAGGCGAGUUCUCGGCACUCACCGGAGGUGUAGAUUUCACAGUCACAGUGGUAAGGGGUUAGAUUCUGAAACUGGAAGUACUGUUGGUGGAGGAAACAUGGUUGGAAGUUCUCUCUUUAUAUCGUUAUACCCCAUAUGGCCAGCUAAAAGCUAUCAUCAUUGGUCAGGUGUUUGUUUGAAUUUGUUUAAAAUUAGAUCUGUACUUUUAGUUUUGUUUGCAUAAAUAUUUGGACGAUGAAGUACUCGGGCUGAAGCGAGCUGGUUUUUUAGAGGGGGGGGGGGGGGUGACUCCAGUUCAGAUGCGAGUUAAGAGCGUAGUGAGAGUGCCACUGAAGAUAUUUUGAUAUUCUUUUACCAGUUGGAUUUGGCAACGCCAGUACAGGUUUUUACAUGCUUUUUUCAUUGUAUAUGGGGCAGGAUUUGGUUUGAAACUCGUCGAAUCUCGUGGUGGCGGUGUUAAAGGAGUUAUAGGGCUAUCUUGAUGUCCUAAGGGCGGCGAUUAGCGGUGGUUUUAAGCUCGAGUAACAGCAGCGACCAAAAAUGCUUAGAUCGGCCGCUACAUGCGAUUAAAGUUCAGGCGGCGGCGUUGGAAAGUAUAUGCCGUCAGGGGCGGAUAUAUAUUAGACCAAGGGGUUGCCUCCGCUACCGCUUGUCGGAAAAUUUUUGACGUUUUUAGUGUAAAUUUUGGAAAAAUUUGACGUUUUUUCGAUUUCGUUACCGCUUAUUUAUAAAACGUUCCCGCUUGGUCGGAAUCCUAGAUCCACCACUGUAUGCCGUAUACUAAGACAAUGGAGAUAAAACCGUUUUCUGGCCAAGACCAUGACCGAUAGGCGCAACAUGGGUCAUUACCAACUAGAUCUGCGAUGGUGUCGGGUGUGUGUGCUUAUUUACGGCUAGCUCACGUAAGAUUCAACUAUUUUAUAUGCCAUUCCAACGAGAUUAUUUGUGAAAACUGUUGAUUUGUCUCUACUUGUAUUAUUUUUGGCGAAUUUGGAGGGAGAGUUGAUAGUUGAAAGUUGUUACCAAAUUGUGUUAUCAGCUGCAACAUUACUGAAUGCUUUCAGUGGUAAGUAGUGGCGGUUUAGGGUUCAGGAUUAAAUCAGUGGCUUUAGAUUAGGAAGACUGAGGCUUGGUUGUGGUUACGGAGCUCUAACGAUUCAAGAUGAAGCUGCAAUGGCUUUGGCAGCUGCAGCAAACAUCAGAUCAAAACUGCAUGUUCACAGCUUACUCAAUCAUGAUUAGUUUGGAGGGUUGCAUUUACCAGAAAUCAGUAGUGGAGUGAAUAAUAUGGGAUAACAAAAUGAUGGUUGUCCAUCUACCUGAGGUAUAAACAUUAUACAGGAAACAGAUGGGAAAAAUCAGGCAUGACACCUCCCAGCCACGGUUCUAGCGUCGCGGUUCUAGCCACUAGACAGCUUUCUACAUUGCAUUGUAGCUGUCUUUUGUGGCUCAAAAGUAUCUAAAAACUGCACAUAUUUUGUUUGUGUUAUAAUGCACUUAUCUGGUCCACUAAUGAAAUUUGGAAGUUUGUCUGAAUUAGAACUUCACUUAUUUGAAACAGAGGAACUGAGAUGGACCAGAUGGUGUAUACUAAUACUAUAUAUAUGUGUAUUUUGAUUUUUGAGAUCAGGGAUAGUAAUU
rnacentral:lncRNA from 1 species